rnacentral:rRNA from 1 species
UAGGGAAUCUUCCACAAUGGACGCAAGUCUGAUGGAGCAACGCCGCGUGAGUGAAGAAGGUUUUCGGACCGUAAAGCUCUGUUGUUGGUGAAGAAGGAUAGAGGUAGUAACUGGCCUUUAUUUGACGGUAAUCAACCAGAAAGUCACGGCUAACUACGUGCCAGCAGCCGCGGUAAUACGUAGGUGGCAAGCGUUGUCCGGAUUUAUUGGGCGUAAAGCGAGCGCAGGCGGAAGAAUAAGUCUGAUGUGAAAGCCCUCGGCUUAACCGAGGAAUUGCAUCGGAAACUGUUUUCUGAGUGCAGAAGAGGAGAGUAGAACUCCAUGUGUAGCGGUGGAAUGCGUAGAUAUAUGGAAGAAUACCAGUGGCGAAGGCGGCUCUCUGGUCUGCAACUGACGCUGAGGCUCGAAAGCAUGAGUAGCGAACAGGAUUAGAUACCCUGGUAGUCCAUGCCGUAAACGAUGAGUGCUAAGUGUUGGGAGGCUUCCGCCUCUCAGUGCUGCAGCUAACGCAUUAAGCACUCCGCCUGGGGAGUACGACCGCAAGGUUGAAAC